rnacentral:rRNA from 1 species
ACGCUGGCGGCGUGCCUAAUACAUGCAAGUCGAGCGAACGGACGAGAAGCUUGCUUCUCUGAUGUUAGCGGCGGACGGGUGAGUAACACGUGGAUAACCUACCUAUAAGACUGGGAUAACUUCGGGAAACCGGAGCUAAUACCGGAUAAUAUUUUGAACCGCAUGGUUCAAAAGUGAAAGACGGUCUUGCUGUCACUUAUAGAUGGAUCCGCGCUGCAUUAGCUAGUUGGUAAGGUAACGGCUUACCAAGGCAACGAUGCAUAGCCGACCUGAGAGGGUGAUCGGCCACACUGGAACUGAGACACGGUCCAGACUCCUACGGGAGGCAGCAGUAGGGAAUCUUCCGCAAUGGGCGAAAGCCUGACGGAGCAACGCCGCGUGAGUGAUGAAGGUCUUCGGAUCGUAAAACUCUGUUAUUAGGGAAGAACAUAUGUGUAAGUAACUGUGCACAUCUUGACGGUACCUAAUCAGAAAGCCACGGCUAACUACGUGCCAGCAGCCGCGGUAAUACGUAGGUGGCAAGCGUUAUCCGGAAUUAUUGGGCGU